rnacentral:rRNA from 1 species
UCGGGGAAUUUUUGGGCAAUGGGCGAAAGCCUGACCCAGCAACGCCGCGUGAAGGAUGAAGUAUUUCGGUAUGUAAACUUCGAAAGAAUAGGAAGAAUAAAUGACGGUACUAUUUAUAAGGUCCGGCUAACUACGUGCCAGCAGCCGCGGUAAUACGUAGGGACCAAGCGUUGUUCGGAUUUACUGGGCGUAAAGGGCGCGUAGGCGGUGUGUCAAGUCAGUUGUGAAAUCUCCGAGCUUAACUCGGAACGGUCAACUGAUACUGUCACACUAGAGUACAGAAGGGGGCAAUCGGAAUUCUUGGUGUAGCGGUGAAAUGCGUAGAUAUCAAGAGGAACACCUGAGGCGAAGGCGGGUUGCUGGGCUGAUACUGACGCUGAGGCGCGAAAGCUAGGGU